UUUUUUUUUUUUAAUAUUGUAUCCUGUUUUAACAAUGCAAUGUUUUGUGAACUCAGGACAUACUUAAAACAAGAGAAAUCUAAAUGUAUCCUUCCUGGUAAAAAAAUUUAUAAAUAAAUUAAUAAAUAAUUCACCCAGCCACAUGCACUGUCACAAACCCAAUCACAUUCACCCAUCCACACUACCCACCCAAUCACAUUCACGCAGCCACACGCACUAUCACAUACAGCUACCCACCCAAUCACAUUCACGCAGCCACACGCACUGUCACAUACAGCUACCCACCUAAUCACAUUCACCAUACUCUCUAAAAGGAGUGAGGCAUAUAAAACAAGUUUCUUUUUAAUUUAGUAAUAUUUUUCAUGAUAUUCAGAGAGGUCAGAUACUAGAAUUAAAGGAUCACUAUAGGAUCAGGAACACAAACAUGUAUUCCUGACCCUAUAGUGUUAAACCCACCAUCUAGCCCCCCAGUGUCCCUCAUGCCUCCAUAAAUAUAGUAAAAAAUCUUACUGUAUUCAUGCUUGAAGCUGUAACUCUGCAUGCUGUUAGACUCAGAAAACAAGCAGUCUGCUGACAUCACUGAAGUGGUAGCCUGAUCCACUCACAGUGCUUCCCCAUAGGAUUGGCUGAGACUGACAAGGAGGCAGAUCAGGGGCAGAGCCAGCAUGAUUCAAACACAGCCCUGGCCAAUCAGCAUCUCCUCAUAGAGAUGAAUUGAAUCAAUGAAUCUCUAUGAGGAAAGUUCAGUGUCUGCAUGCAAAGGGAGGAAAUACUGAAUGUUUGGAUGCAUUUUAGGCAGCCAUGACCCAGGAAGGAUCUCUUAACAGCCAUCUGAGGAGUGGCCAGUGAAGUUAUCACUAGGCUGUAAUGUAAACACUGCAUUUUCUCUGAAAAGACAGUGUUUACAGCAAAAAGCCUGAAGGCAAUGAUCCUACACACCAGAACAAAUUCAAUAAGCUGUAGUUGUUCUGGUGACUAUAGUGUCCCUUUAACAACAAGGAAAAGUGGUAUAAUAUUUCCAAAUUGGGAGCAUUCAACAUAAUCUGGUCUGACCGGUUUCAUUAAAGGACUGGAAUACUCUAAUUGUGUCCAUAAUUGCUCUAAUAUAUUUUUAUUUUUUAUAUAUAUAUUGAAUGCGUGAAUCUAGGGUGUUAAAAAUAAAUUGUAAAAUAAUGCACUGAUGUAUACCAAAAG